GCGUCAGUAGUGCAACGGUCAGCACGCGCCUCUGAAAAGAGUGAGAUCCGGGCCCGAACCCCGGCCGACGCA